UGGGGAAUAUUGGACAAUGGGCGAAAGCCUGAUCCAGCCAUGCCGCGUGUGUGAAGAAGGCCUUCGGAUUGUAAAGCACUUUAAGUUGGGAGGAAGGGCAUUAACCUAAUACGUUAGUGUUUUGACGUUACCGACAGAAUAAGCACCGGCUAACUCUGUGCCAGCAGCCGCGGUAAUACAGAGGGUGCAAGCGUUAAUCGGAAUUACUGGGCGUAAAGCGCGCGUAGGUGGUUUGUUAAGUUGGAUGUGAAAGCCCCGGGCUCAACCUGGGAACUGCAUCCAAAACUGGCAAGCUAGAGUACGGUAGAGGGUGGUGGAAUUUCCUGUGUAGCGGUGAAAUGCGUAGAUAUAGGAAGGAACACCAGUGGCGAAGGCGACCACCUGGACUGAUACUGACACUGAGGUGCGAAAGCGUGGGGAGCAAACA
rnacentral:rRNA from 1 species